rnacentral:rRNA from 1 species
UACAGAGGGUGCGAGCGUUAAUCGGAAUUACUGGGCGUAAAGGGCGCGUAGGCUGCUCGCUAAGUCGGGUGUGAAAACUCUGGGCUCAACCCAGAGCCUGCAUUCGAAACUGACGAGCUAGAGUUCUGGAGGGGAAAGCGGAAUUCCUGGUGUAGCGGUGAAAUGCGUAGAUAUCAGGAGGAACACCGGUGGCGAAGGCGGCUUUCUGGACAGAAACUGACGCUGAGGCGCGAAAGCUAGGGGAGCAAACAGG